GCUGGGCAUGGUGGUGCAUGCCUGUAAUCCCAGCAGCUCCAAAGGCUGAGGCAGGAGGAUCACAAGUUCAAAACGAGCCUCAGCGAAAGCAAGGCACUAAGCAAGCACUCAGUGAUACCCUGUCUUUA
rnacentral:sRNA from 1 species